rnacentral:lncRNA from 1 species
UUUGUUAUAUAAAGCUAAAGUUUCAAACUUAGAUGCCACACAAGUUCAUUCUACACUUGCAAAAUUAAUCACAAUUCUAUGUAUUAAAAAUUUCUAAUAUCUAAAUCAAAAUUCAUAAUCCGAUCAAUAUUUUUCCAGUCUCCAACUUCUUCUUCUUUUUUUCUUCCUAAACUCAGUAUAUAAUCUAAGAAUCAAUAAAUCCAAAAAAAAAAAAAUCAAUCUCCCUUCCACUAACAAAAUCCAACUGAAGGUAGAACAAUUUAUGUAUAGGCUGAGAUGUUUUUCCUAUAUACCACCCAAACUCUUUCUAUACCAUUAAAUUAUAUCAAAAGAUUAGUCAUGCUUUUACUAUAAUUCUAUCUUGGUAGAAACUAAAGUUUCAUCCAAUACUAAAAUAAAGAUUGAUAUAUACCUACUAUAUCUUCUCCACUAUUCCAAAGUGAACCACUCAACUUAAACCACAACACCAUUUUGAUAUUAAAACCUCCACUUAUAUUGUUUUACUCUCCUCAAAANNNNNNNNNAGUCUUCAUACUUACUUAGAUAUCUUCCCUUAACCAUACUAUCCAAUAGAAAUUCUUUUGUCAACUAUAGUUCUUACAACUAACUCUAAAUCUACUCACUUUUUCUUUUCUAAAAAAAAUAAAAUCUGCUCAUACUUUUUCUUUUAAAAGAUAAUCUAUUUAUAUUUGCAGCAAGUGUGUGCUAUAUUUUCCAACUAAAAGUAUUCAAUCAUAUUCUUAAUAACUAAAAUUAAACUUUCUAAAAUACACCACAAUCAAAUAUCUCAAACUCAUCGUUAAAUAUAUUUUAUUUUCAAUUAUCAAAAUAAUCAUAUUUCAUCAAUUCUAAAAUUUACUCUAGUAGUCUUGUAUUGGUUCAUUCUAUAGAACUAGUUUGUUUCACAUAACUUACUCCAAAGUAAAAUUGACCAUAGACACACCCUUCCAAUUUUAACAUAAUUAACCUUAACUAUGAGUCUUAAUUUAUUUUAUUUUUAAUUUUUUUAAUUUUGAAACAACACAAUUUUAUUUAUAAUAAUUCCUACAUAACUACAAUAAGUGUCUAU